GAUGAGCGCUGGCGGCGUGCUUAACACAUGCAAGUCGAGCGAGUGAGUUCUUCGGAACAAUCUAGCGGCGGACGGGUGAGUAACACGUGGGCAACCUGCCUCAUAGAGGGGAAUAGCCCCCCGAAAGGGAGAUUAAUACCGCAUAAAAUUAUCGAGUGGCAUCACAUGAUAAUCAAAGGAGUAAUCCGCUAUGAGAUGGGCCCGCGGCGCAUUAGCUAGUUGGGGAGGUAACGGCUCACCAAGGCGACGAUGCGUAGCCGACCGGAGAGGGUGAUCGGCCACAUUGGGACUGAGACACGGCCCAGACUCCUACGGGAGGCAGCAGGGGGGGAUAUUGCAAAAUGGGGGAAACCCUGAUGCAGCAACGCCGCGUGAGUGAUGAAGGUCUUCGGAUUGUAAAGCUCUGUCUUUGGGGACGAUAAUGACGGUACCCAAGGAGGAAGCCACGGCUAACUACGUGCCAGCCGCCGCCGUAA
rnacentral:rRNA from 1 species